AGGACAGCCAUGGGGGAUCCAUGCAGGGAUCCAUGGGAACGACCUCACAAGCUGUGGCGUGGUUCAGACGAUGAACAGAUCGAGUUUCAUGGACGGCCAUCGUUUCGACUGCUCGAUUUCGGGGUUCUUUUUCUUUUUCCCUUUUUUCUUUUUUGGCGGUUUUGGAAUGGGGAUAAUGCCCAGAAGGAGGCCCGAGCAAACGGCCCUGGCAUGCUUGAUCAAUACAGGAUAGGUCUUCCAAAGACUUUUCUCCCAAUUUCUAGUCGUCAAGCCAAACCCCACACUAAAUUUGCCGUGGA
rnacentral:sRNA from 1 species